AACGAACGCUGGCGGCAUGCCUAACACAUGCAAGUCGAACGAGACCUUCGGGUCUAGUGGCGCACGGGUGCGUAACGCGUGGGAACCUGCCCUUAGGUUCGGAAUAACUCCCCGAAAGGGGUGCUAAUACCGGAUAAUGUCUUCGGACCAAAGAUUUAUCGCCUUUGGAUGGGCCCGCGUUGGAUUAGCCAGUUGGUAGGGUAAAAGCCUACCAAGGCGACGAUCCAUAGCUGGUCUGAGAGGAUGAUCAGCCACACUGGGGCUGAGACACGGCCCAGAAUCCUACGGGAGGCAGCAGUGGGGAAUAUUGGACAAUGGGGGAAAGCCUGAUCCAGCAAUGCCGGGUGAGUGAUGAAGGCCUUAGGGUUGUAAAGCUCUUUUACCCGGGGUGAUAAUGACAGUACCGGGAGAAUAAGCUCCGGCUAACUCCGUG
rnacentral:rRNA from 1 species